GGGUUGUGAGGUUAAGCGACUAAGCGUACACGGUGGAUGCCCUGGCAGUCAGAGGCGAUGAAGGACGUGCUAAUCUGCGAUAAGCGCCGGUAAGGUGAUAUGAACCGUUAUAACCGGCGAUUUCCGAAUGGGGAAACCCAGUGUGAUUCGUCACACUAUCAUUAACUGAAUCCAUAGGUUAAUGAGGCGAACCGGGGGAACUGAAACAUCUAAGUACCCCGAGGAAAAGAAAUCAACCGAGAUUCCCCCAGUAGCGGCGAGCGAACGGGGAGGAGCCCAGAGCCUGAAUCAGCAUGUGUGUUAGUGGAAGCGUCUGGAAAGGCGCGCGAUACAGGGUGACAGCCCCGUACACAAAAGCGCAUGUGCUGUGAGCUCGAUGAGUAGGGCGGGACACGUGGUAUCCUGUCUGAAUAUGGGGGGACCAUCCUCCAAGGCUAAAUACUCCUGACUGACCGAUAGUGAACCAGUACCGUGAGGGAAAGGCGAAAAGAACCCCGGCGAGGGGAGUGAAAAAGAACCUGAAACCGUGUACGUACAAGCAGUGGGAGCACCCUUCGGGGUGUGACUGCGUACCUUUUGUAUAAUGGGUCAGCGACUUAUAUUCUGUAGCAAGGUUAACCGUAUAGGGGAGCCGGAGGGAAACCGAGUCUUAAUUGGGCGUUAAGUUGCAGGGUAUAGACCCGAAACCCGGUGAUCUAGCCAUGGGCAGGUUGAAGGUUGGGUAACACUAACUGGAGGACCGAACCGACUAAUGUUGAAAAAUUAGCGGAUGACCUGUGGCUGGGGGUGAAAGGCCAAUCAAACCGGGAGAUAGCUGGUUCUCCCCGAAAGCUAUUUAGGUAGCGCCUCGUGAAUUCAUCUCCGGGGGUAGAGCACUGUUUCGGCUAGGGGGCCAUCCCGGCUUACCAACCCGAUGCAAACUGCGAAUACCGGAGAAUGUUAUCACGGGAGACACACGGCGGGUGCUAACGUCCGUCGUGAAGAGGGAAACAACCCAGACCGCCAGCUAAGGUCCCAAAGUCAUGGUUAAGUGGGAAACGAUGUGGGAAGGCCCAGACAGCCAGGAUGUUGGCUUAGAAGCAGCCAUCAUUUAAAGAAAGCGUAAUAGCUCACUGGUCGAGUCGGCCUGCGCGGAAGAUGUAACGGGGCUAAACCAUGCACCGAAGCUGCGGCAGCGAACGUAUCACCCAAGACAACUUUACGGAGUUGACGAUUGACGGAGCGAAGCGACGUCAAAGCGUUCAUUAAAGUCGAGUUGGCUUAGGGAUACGUUCGUUGGGUAGGGGAGCGUUCUGUAAGCCUGUGAAGGUGUGUCGUGAGGCAUGCUGGAGGUAUCAGAAGUGCGAAUGCUGACAUAAGUAACGAUAAAGCGGGUGAAAAGCCCGCUCGCCGGAAGACCAAGGGUUCCUGUCCAACGUUAAUCGGGGCAGGGUGAGUCGACCCCUAAGGCGAGGCCGAAAGGCGUAGUCGAUGGGAAACGGGUUAAUAUUCCCGUACUUGGUGUUACUGCGAAGGGGGGACGGAGAAGGCUAUGUUGGCCGGGCGACGGUUGUCCCGGUUUAAGCGUGUAGGUGUGUGUUCCAGGUAAAUCCGGUUCACUUUAACACUGAGGCGUGACGACGAGGCACUACGGUGCUGAAGCAACAAAUGCCCUGCUUCCAGGAAAAGCCUCUAAGCAUCAGGUAACACGAAAUCGUACCCCAAACCGACACAGGUGGUCAGG
rnacentral:rRNA from 1 species